rnacentral:rRNA from 1 species
ACUCCUACGGGAGGCAGCAGUGGGGAAUAUUGCACAAUGGGCGGAAGCCUGAUGCAGCAACGCCGCGUGCGGGAUGACGGCCUUCGGGUUGUAAACCGCUUUCGCCUGUGACGAAGCGUGAGUGACGGUAAUGGGUAAAGAAGCACCGGCUAACUACGUGCCAGCAGCCGCGGUAAUAC